GUUUAUAGAAGAUGAUGUGCCGGUUCAAUACCUGGUUUCCACUUUUAUGAUAAAUCAAUGUUUCCUUGCUUGCGAUGGUGAUAAUGAGGAAAUUUUGGGAUUUGCUAAGCUGUUCAAUGAUGAACUCACACUAGAUAAUAUCAGCAGGCCUCGUCUAGUGAAUAUGUGCAAGUACAUGGGAAUCAGCUCUAUUGGAACAGACUCUUACUUGCGGUAUAUGCUACGGAAAAGGUUGCAAAGGUGUGUUGUUUCCCAUUCCCUUCACUGUGGUAGCAGCAACAUAUAGUCAUAUUCAAAUAUGACUAUAGUCAUAUUUAUGUAUUUAGUUAGAUGAAAUGAAGCGUACUCCCCC